rnacentral:lncRNA from 1 species
CCCAGUUGAACACAGAAGCAGCAAUGCCAGACCUCUUGGGCUUCACUUUUUUCUCUUCACAUGUCUGUGUGUUUAGUUUCAGCUUUGCUGCUGCUUUUAGCUGUGCAGUUGAGCCUCUUCCAGCUCAGUGCUUAGAGAUGUGGGAGAACAUCUACCUAUUGAUACACUCUGAAUCUACAUAAACUGUUGAAAAAUGUGCCAGAGCUUGUGGUUGAGGUUCCCUGAAAACAUCUGAGGAGUAAUUUGGAUAUGAAGUAUGGACUAAUCAUUGUUCUUAAGAAGGGUGCUCCUAUUCUGAGAACAAAAGCUGUUAUUAAUGCGCGCAAGAGAGCCCAGCACCGGCAGAAGGGAGAGUGUCUUCACGCUGUUUUGCAAUGCUGCACGUUUGAAGUUCCUCAGCUGCGCCGGGAGGAAGUGGUUGUUCAGUUCUGCUGCCAUUUCGCGAAGGAUGAAGCUCCAGUAAACUUUCCCUGCGAGAGUCACCUGGAAACCACAGUGAUAAAAACGAGUUUUUGCUCCCUGCCUACAAAAGGAGAUGCCACCAGCAGGAAACAGGAACUUAGAACAAGGUUGCCAGAGCUCUGCCGUCGCCCCCAGUGCACCACCUUGUGCAACCUUCCGCCGUGCAGUGUGUUUGCUGCCUGCUUGGAAGUUCUCUCUUCCAAGACCAGCCCUGCAAGGGUAUAACGUGGUGAUAUGAUGUCUGGACCCAAAGUGCCCUUUGACUACUGCCCUGCACGAUACAAGAGGUACUCAAGGGAGCAAAAAGCAUUUAGGCCUCCGUAUAGGAACACUACCUCUGCGCAGUUGCACUGGUAUGAUGGUCCUCCUUUGCGUGCUGCAGCAGCAAGGCACCAAAGGAUGGAUUUGCUAGAUGGAAGAUUUGCUGGCCUGGUAACAGAGGACGUGUGUUGCUGGAGAGUGAUUACUGGGAUGGAAACCCAGGAUCCAGAAAUGCAACUUGCACGAGCUUCCUCAAAACCCACCGUCUGGUUCCGUGCCUUCCACAGCAGGGCUACGCGGGUUGUGGAAAUGCCUCGAGUUCCUGACGAGGUUAUCGAGCACUGUAGGCACAAGACAUCAGGCACACGGGACAUCGGGAGGAGUGUUCCUGCCCCAGAGAGCUUCUUAGCAGCAAGUGUAAAAAGAGGAGGAAAAAGUGGGUAUAAUAAACAGAAAGGGAAAAAAUGCGCCUCA